rnacentral:rRNA from 1 species
CGUGUAGGCGGCCAGACAGGUCCGUUGUGAAAACUGGAGGCUUAACCUUCAGACGUCGAUGGAAACCGUCUGGCUAGAGUCCGGAAGAGGAGAGUGGAAUUCCUGGUGUAGCGGUGAAAUGCGCAGAUAUCAGGAAGAACACCCGUGGCUAAGGCGGCUCUCUAGUACGGUACUGACGCUGAGACGCGAAAGCGUGGGGAGCGAACA